GACGAACGCUGGCGGCGUGCUUAACACAUGCAAGUCGAACGGAAAGGCCCUGCUUUUGUGGGGUGCUCGAGUGGCGAACGGGUGAGUAACACGUGAGUAACCUGCCCUUGACUUUGGGAUAACUUCAGGAAACUGGGGCUAAUACCGGAUAGGAGCUCCUGCUGCAUGGUGGGGGUUGGAAAGCUUCGGCGGUUGGGGAUGGACUCGCGGCUUAUCAGCUUGUUGGUGGGGUAGUGGCUUACCAAGGCUUUGACGGGUAGCCGGCCUGAGAGGGUGACCGGCCACAUUGGGACUGAGAUACGGCCCAGACUCCUACGGGAGGCAGCAGUGGGGAAUAUUGCACAAUGGGCGGAAGCCUGAUGCAGCAACGCCGCGUGCGGGAUGACGGCCUUCGGGUUGUAAACCGCUUUCGCCUGUGACGAAGCGUGAGUGACGGUAAUGGGUAAAGAAGCACCUGCUAACUACGUG
rnacentral:rRNA from 1 species